AACAGACGUAAUUAAGUAUCGCCAGCGUAAACGUACUCAACGGACACAACCUGCUGUGAACAGGACCUACAAACACCCCAAAGGCUCUUUUCAGAGCCAUUUGACCAAGCAUCUUUGUACAUGCCGGUUUUCCUUCAGUAGUGCCAGUUUUCCUAAGAUUUUACCUCGUCCUCCACUGCCUCCAGUAAUUCCUGGUUUUAAGGUGGAGUAAUGGAGUAAAGAUGCAACGGAGCAGCUGAUAAGAAAACAUGCUUAAGACCAUCUUAAACGUGCACCAUCAAGAAAGGGAGGGGUACACAAUAAACAUUUUUUUUAACAUUACUUUUUGAAUAGAUGCACUUUUUAAAUUUUUUUUUAAAGUAUAUAUAUUGUUUAUUUAUGUUGUUUUUAAAUGUUAUAAUUGUAUUGUUUUUAUUUGUUGUAUUUAGCUUUUAUGCAUUUGUACACACACAAACACACAACCACAUUUAUACAAAAUAAGUUUUGAAUAAAUACGUUUAAUGGAG